GUGACAGUGCUGUGUGUGUGUGUGUGCCUUAACUGUCGAUGCUUUGAACUGAAAUUUGCAUGCGGGCUUCGAUUACUGCCUCGAUAACAGCUUUGAGGGAAGGCAGCUUCCAUUGUUGGAUCUGUCUCAUAAGCAAGCACAAGGGGCUGUUCCAUAGAUAGGCAAAUUAAAGCCCACUUAGAAGGCAGCAAUAAAAUCGUUGCCAAUAAACUGAAGAAUGGGGCUGCUUCUGCGACAGCUGUGCGUAGUUUCGACAGCUAUGGAAAUAAAAGCAAAUACUGGGAAAUAUCACAGACCUAUGCUAUAUGUGCAGCAGCCAGCCCACCCCAGCAGCAUUCUCUCAAGCCGCACGAACAACAACAAGCGCUGGGGCCAAACAAAAUAAACAAAAAUUAUGACAAGCGGCAGCGAAAAAAAAACAUACAAAAUAAGAAUAAUAAAAAUGCUAAAGAAAAA